rnacentral:misc_RNA from 1 species
AAGUCGUAACAAGGUUUCCGUAGGUGAACCUGCGGAAGGAUCAUUAAUGAAUAAACUUGGUCGAGUUGUUGCUGGUCCUUCGGGGCAUGUGCACGCUUGCCACCAAUUUUAACCACCUGUGCACCUUUGUAGACUGGAAACAAUUCUCGAGGCAACUCGGAUUGAGAACUGCUGUGCGCGAGCCAGCUGUCCUUGCGUUUCUAAGUCUAUGUUUUCAUAUACUCCAUUGUAUGUAUCAGAAUGUAUUGCUAGGCCGUUAGUGCCUUUAAAUCAAAUACAACUUUCAACAACGGAUCUCUUGGCUCUC